UUCAGCUAUUAAAAUAGUUCAGAUUUGUUGCCCACUGAAGCUAAGCAGGGCUGAGCCUGGUCAGUACCUGGAUGGGAGACCUCCUGGGAAAACUAGGUUGCUGCUGGAA
rnacentral:rRNA from 1 species